CCAUUUUGUCAGGCCCGGGUAUUUUUAAACACAGGCAUUGUACCGAGCAAAGCAGCAGCACAGCCGCAUCGCCGCUUCGCAGGGCUGUUUUGCUAUGUUUAUCCACAAUCCAAUGGUUCCACGCAAUCCUUUACAAAGCGUGCUCCUAUCGCAUCCAAGAGCCGUGCACCAAUUUAAGUGCUAUUAUGUCAAUAAAGGCAGCUUUCAAAUAAAGUCCGUAUCUGCAGCGCGCGCAGCCCCGCGCCGGCCCUCCCGAAGGCCUGGCAGGGAAAUCUGACUUUAUAAUAAGGCACUCUAAAAUAAAUAUUUCCAUUCCAGCACCAGAGGGUUUGCAUCCUGCCUCGGAUGAGCACAGCUGGGUCCGGAGGUUUCUCUGCAGCAAUCCCUGCGCAGCGCUGCAAGUGGAGCGCCCACGGGGGAGCACAGGGCAGAGCCGGCCCUGAUGGGGUGCACUGAACUCUGCAGAGUUCCAACACAGCCUUAAUUCUAAGACCUCUACAGGAGAAUAAAGGAACGCUCGGUGCCCAAAGCUGCCUUCAGUGGACGCUGGAAGGACAUCCGCUCUCAGAAGGAGGAGCAGGGAAGAUGUUUGGAGAAGUCCUUGACACGGCGAACGCACUUUAAGUACCGCCUGCUGCGGAUCGCCGCGCACCCCCCGGCCCAGCACCGGGCACGGCUCCGGCUCG
ensembl:lncRNA